rnacentral:rRNA from 1 species
GACGAACGCUGGCGGCGUGCUUAACACAUGCAAGUCGAACGGAAAGGCCCUGCUUUUGUGGGGUGCUCGAGUGGCGAACGGGUGAGUAACACGUGAGUAACCUGCCCUUGACUUUGGGAUAACUUCAGGAAACUGGGGCUAAUACCGGAUAGGAUCUCCUGCUGCAUGGUGGGGGUUGGAAAGAUUCGGCGGUUGGGGAUGGACUCGCGGGUUAUCAGCUUGUUGGUGGGGUAGUGGCUUACCAAGGCUUUGAGGGGUAGCCGGCCUGGGAGGGUGGCCGGCCACCUGGGGACUGAGAGAGGGACCAGACGCGAACGGGACGCAGCAGUGGGGAACAUGGCACAAUGGGCGGAAGCCAGAGGCAGCAACGUCGGGUGCGGGAUGACGGCUUUCUAGUUGAGAACAGCUUUCGCCUGUGACGAAGAGUGAGUGACGGUAAUGGGUAAAGAAGCAACGGCUAACUACGUG